GUGCUUGCUUUGGCAGCACAUAUACUAAAAUUGGAAUGAUACAGAGAAGAUUAGCAUGGCCACUGCAAAAAAAUUAAAAAAAAAAUUAUUACAAUUUAAAAAUCCCC